UGGCUCAGAACGAACGCUGGCGGCGUGCUUAACACAUGCAAGUCGAACGGAAAGCGCUCUUUGGAGUGACUCGAGUGGCGAACGGGUGAGUAACACGUGGGUGAUCUGCCCUGCACUUUGGGAUAAGCCUGGGAAACUGGGUCUAAUACCGGAUAGGACUACGAAUCGCAUGGUUUGUGGUGGAAAGCUUUUGCGGUGUGGGAUGGGCCCGCGGCCUAUCAGCUUGUUGGUGGGGUGAUGGCCUACCAAGGCGAGGAAGAGUAGCCGGCCUGAGAGGGUGUCCGGCCACACUGGGAUUUUUAUACGGCCCACGACUACGGGAGGCAG
rnacentral:rRNA from 1 species